rnacentral:lncRNA from 1 species
GCAUGCCUGCAGUGCUGGGGAUGCACAGUUGCAAUGCUGGAGGUGCACAGUUGCAAUGCUGGGAAUGCACAGUUGCAAUAGUGGGGAUGCACAGUUGCAAUAGUGGGGAUGCACACCUGCAGUGCUGGGGAUGCACAGUUGCAAUGCUGCAGAUGCAUGCCUGCAAUGCUGGGGGGUGCACGGUUGCAGUGCAGGGGGCACACAGUUGCAAUGCUGGGGUUGCAUACCUGCAAUGCUGGGGAUGCACGGUUGCAAUGCUGGGGACGCACAGUUGCAGUGCUGGAGAUGCACUGUUGCAAUGCUGGAGAUGCACAGUUGCAAUGCUGGGGGUGCAUGCCUGCAAUGCUGGGGGUGCAUGGUUGCAGUGCAGGGAGUGCACAGUUGCAAUGCUGGGGAUGCACAGUUGCAAUGCUGGGGAUGCAGCCCCCAUCCAGCAGUCGGCUUGGAGUUUCCAUCGGCGGCUGCAGGUGCCUUCAGUGUUUGGAGAUGAUCUCAAGCAGGGGGCUCACUUCUCCACAGGCAGCUGAUAAAUGGUGGGAUGGGAAGCAUUCCCUGCUGCCUGAGCUAAUGAUUGCUUUCCGAAUGGCAUCUGUGUGUGUGGGGAGGGGGCGGCUGGAGACGGGGCGCUGCGGGAGAAGGGGAAUAAUCACAGUAAACUCCAUCUCAGCAAGUGCUGCGGGUAUGCAUCAUUUUUAUUGCAGGGAAGAUGAAUGGAUCCUGUGGUGGCUUUUGUUUUAUUUCAGCGGAGGGAAGCGUUUAAAUCGCCGGUUGAUUUCAAACCAUUUGGGUAAUUCAGGGUGAAUAAACCUGGCUGGAGCUGACGGAGGUUCUGGGAUGGCUGCUGGGCUGUCUGAGCUGCUUCUGAAGCUGCAGCACUGCUGCGUGGCUUUCCUUCUGCACCGAAACGCUUUGAUUACAAUUCCUGUGGCACUUCUGUAGCAGACCUGCAAUAAUUGUGUUCACCCCUCUGCCUUUUUGGUAAGGAUGAGCCUGCAUCAAGC